UGGGGAAUUUUGGACAAUGGGCGAAAGCCUGAUCCAGCAAUGCCGCGUGUGUGAAGAAGGCCUUCGGGUUGUAAAGCACUUUUGUCCGGAAAGAAAACGCCGUGGUUAAUACCCGUGGCGGAUGACGGUACCGGAAGAAUAAGCACCGGCUAACUACGUGCCAGCAGCCGCGGUAAUACGUAGGGUGCAAGCGUUAAUCGGAAUUACUGGGCGUAAAGCGUGCGCAGGCGGUCCGCUAAGACAGAUGUGAAAUCCCCGGGCUUAACCUGGGAACUGCAUUUGUGACUGGCGGGCUAGAGUAUGGCAGAGGGGGGUAGAAUUCCACGUGUAGCAGUGAAAUGCGUAGAGAUGUGGAGGAAUACCGAUGGCGAAGGCAGCACCCUGGGCCAAUACUGACGCUCAUGCACGAAAGCGUGGGGAGCAAACAGG
rnacentral:rRNA from 1 species